GACGAACCGUGCGAACGUUGUUCGGAAUCACUGGGCUUAAAGGGCGCGUAGGCGGGUCACCAAGUCCGGGGUGAAAUCUUUCGGCUCAACCGGAAAAUAGCCUUGGAUACUGGUGGUCUCGAGGGAGGUAGGGGCAUGUGGAACUUCCGGUGGAGCGGUGAAAUGCGUAGAUAUCGGGAGGAACACCAGUAGCGAAGGCGGCUCGCUGGGCCAUUCCUGACGCUGAGACGCGAAAGCUAGGGGAGCGAACAGG
rnacentral:rRNA from 1 species